rnacentral:rRNA from 1 species
GAUGAACGCUGGCGGCGUGCUUAACACAUGCAAGUCGAACGGGAUCCAUCAGGCUUUGCUUGGUGGUGAGAGUGGCGAACGGGUGAGUAAUGCGUGACCGACCUGCCCCAUACACCGGAAUAGCUCCUGGAAACGGGUGGUAAUGCCGGAUGCUCCAGUUGAUCGCAUGGUCUUCUGGGAAAGCUUUCGCGGUAUGGGAUGGGGUCGCGUCCUAUCAGCUUGACGGCGGGGUAACGGCCCACCGUGGCUUCGACGGGUAGCCGGCCUGAGAGGGCGACCGGCCACAUUGGGACUGAGAUACGGCCCAGACUCCUACGGGAGGCAGCAGUGGGGAAUAUUGCACAAUGGGCGCAAGCCUGAUGCAGCGACGCCGCGUGAGGGAUGGAGGCCUUCGGGUUGUAAACCUCUUUUAUCGGGGAGCAAGCGAGAGUGAGUUUACCCGUUGAAUAAGCACCGGC